AUUUGGGACAAGGUCUUCAUAUCACCAAUGAUAAGAGGUGUCACCUGAGUCGGUCUGCACUUUGCCUAGAUUGGCCAAGCCCAACAUUCGAGCAUUGGCCGUGCUGAGAUUCAAAUAUUUGAUGUUUCAUGGUCGACCUAGCUCAUUUUGAUGCCCCUAAAUAGUUUCAAACACCUAUAAACUGCAACGAUAUGUAUACGAGUGCAAGGUGAUACAAAAUGUUCUAUCAUAUAACUGCAAAGAAUGUAUACAAUAUGAGACAGGAAUACAAGUAGAAAAUUCAAUUAUAGAGCUUAGAGCAUCUUCAACAAUGGCAUAAAAUUGAUUUAAAUUGUGAUUUAGGUCUUCAAAGUUGCAAACAACCUCUCUAAUUGAGAGAUGCAAAGAAAAUGCAAAUUGCGUUUUUCGGCAGAAAAUGUAAAAAAAAGAUGUAGAGGUAAAAGUGGAUUUAGAUAUUCCAUUAGAGCAUAAUUUGGAUUUAAAUCUAUCGAGAUGUAAAUGAGGAUGCAAAAGUGAUUUUGGACAUACCAAUUUACACUCAAUUUUACACAAUUAUUGAAGAUGCUCUUAUAAAAGCAAAUUUAAAAGAGUUGACACAUAUUUUUUUGGUUUACUUAGCUAUUAUCUAAGGACCCUGUUCGAGCUAAA